rnacentral:misc_RNA from 1 species
AAAAAACCAUAGAUUAGUUAUCACUUUUAAAUAUCAAAAUUCUUAGUUCUCAACUAUGGGUGGUGACAAUACUGAGAAGAUUACCAUAAUGAUGCUAAAGGUUGAUCUUCAAUGUUCAAGCUGCUACAAAAAAGUCAAAAAAAUUCUCUGCAAAUUCCCUCAAAUUCGAGACCAAGUGUAUGAUGAAAAGGCCAAUAUAAUCACAAUUACUGUAUUGUGUUGCAAUCCUGAAAAAAUUCGUGACAAAUUGUGUUGCAAAGGAGGGGGAGUAAUCAAGAGCAUUGAGAUCAAAGA